UCCAGCCCAUUGGCCACCUCCUAUAAGCCCACUCUAUACCUUUCUUUCUUCAUUACCCUCUACUUAGCUCUUCUCUUUCUUUAGUUUGUGCACUUUUUAUGGGUUUGAGAGCAAAUAUUGCAGUGCAGAAAGCAACACUGAAAUCUCCACAAGGUAGCAUGUAUGAGUGGAGUAAUGAGUCAACUUGCUUCAAGCCAAAGGCUGCAAAAACUGCAAAGUAUAAGCAGAAUGACAUGUUUAGUGGUCCUUCUUAGCCAUGGCUUUGUCUUCAUCAUCCUAAUGAUGAGUGUUGCAUCCUCAUCUUAAUCUCGGUGCUAUCUUACCUGAGCUUUCUCACCGCUUUUUUUCUGUUGUCUUUUCUUUCUUUUUUGACUUGUUGCCUUUCGUUCCUCCACCUAUCCCAUUCUUCUUGACCUUGUAAGACCUUUUCUUGACCUUGUAAGACCCCGUGUUAUCUAUUAUGUCUUUAUGUUUUGUGUUGUUGCAAAUCUUACGUCAUGACUUCUCCAUGUAAGGUUUGUAUUGUGUCCAUCUUUCUUCCUACUCAACUCACGUUCUCCUUCCUUGUCUAUCCCUCCUGAGCUAUUGAUUUUAUUCCAUGUAGAAUUGAACACAACAAAAAGAUUUGAAUUCAUCAUGUAUGAUCACAAGAAAGUGAACUAUUUCCCAUCAAGAAUGGUAUACUCAAGCAAAUUCAUGUGAUUAUUUAGAUACCCUAUUGUUCCUUUUUGUGGGGGUUAUGAAUGUGAAUUUGGAAUAACAUUGUACCAAAUCCAAUUUUAUUAUUUUUUAUUUUGCAUUUUGGCUUUUCAAGUUUUGUAGUUUGUCUUAGUAUAAUAGCUAUUUAUUUUUACUAGCUUUUUGUUUUGUUUUGUUUUGGGAAUAUGUAAUAGAGAAACUACAAGUAUUCUUCAAUUUCUCUUGA